GGGGAUAUUGCACAAUGGGGGAAACCCUGAUGCAGCGACGCCGCGUGAGCGAAGAAGUAUUUCGGUAUGUAAAGCUCUAUCAGCAGGGAAGAAGAUGACGGUACCUGACUAAGAAGCUCCGGCUAAAUACGUGCCAGCCGCCGCGGUAAUACGUAUGGAGCAAGCGUUAUCCGGAUUUACUGGGUGUAAAGGGAGCGUAGGCGGCCUGGCAAGUCUGGUGUGAAAUACCGGGGCCCAACCCCGGGACUGCAUUGGAAACUGCCAGGCUGGAGUGUCGGAGGGGCAGGCGGAAUUCCUAGUGUAGCGGUGAAAUGCGUAGAUAUUAGGAGGAACACCGGUGGCGAAGGCGGCCUGCUGGACGACAACUGACGCUGAGGCUCGAAAGCGUGGGGAGCAAACAGG
rnacentral:rRNA from 1 species